ACAGGUUGUUGCUGGCUCCUCACGCAUGUGCACACUUGUCGUUUUAUUUAUUUAUUUCUCCACUGUGCACCAUCUGUAUGUCUGGAGUUUUUGUUUGAAAUCCUUUUGUUUGCGAUUGAGGAUUGCUGUCUCACCUUUGCCUUGCAUCUCCGGGUCUAUAUCUUAUACAAUCACUCACUGUGUUUGGAAUGUUGAAUUGCAUAUAUAUAUAUACAACUUUCAACAACGGAUCUCUUGGCUCUCCAUCUUGAAAACCAACAAAUGCAUAACUAAUGUGAAUUGCAAUUCAGUGAAUCUCUAAUCUUUGAACCAUCUUGCCUCCUUGGUAUUCUGAGAGCAUGCCUGUUCAGGUCAUCAAGUUCCACCACGUUGAUUUGCUUCUCUGGAUUGGAUUUGGGGUUUGCAGCCUUUUCAAAAGGGUCUGCUUUCCUAAAAUGAAUUAGUGGUAUAUCUGAGCAGAGACUUAUGUACUACAGGUGUGAUAACUAUCUAUGCCGUUGUACAGUGCUGCACAUACACCACUUAGAGAAUCUCAUUGUUGACCACUUUGACCUCACAUCAGGUAGACUACCCGCUGAACUUAAGCAUAUCAGUAAGCGGAAGAAAACAAACUAACGAUGAUUCCCCUACUGACUGCGAGUGAAGCGGGAAAAGCUCAUAUUUGAAAUCUGGCCGUUUUUACCUCCGAAUUGUAAUCAGAAGAAGUGUUACCCGUGCUGGACCGUGUAC
rnacentral:rRNA from 1 species